rnacentral:lncRNA from 1 species
AUCCACUGUGGAGAGCGCAGGAGAGACACAAAAUUCAGCGAACUGCGUGCGUUGAACCUAAACCGCACUUAACUCGCAAACCGGGACUCUACUUGUAGCACACUGGACCUUUGCAAAUAGUGAGGUUCGAGUGUUUGAUAUUGGUUUCGAACUUUUCCACACUUUGUGGAGGGUCGUAGACGGCGAUCCGACCCGCGGUUCGAAUUUGUGGAUUUUUGGCUAAGUCCUAAGAGUUUUACUCUCGGGGACCAGUCCCUGGUAGGAGAGACCGGUCCCAUCGGCUGUGGUUGCGGCAGACUGCGAGGCAACCGGUCCCCUGGCCAGGGAGACCGGUUCCCGAACGUCUGUUUUGCGGUAGGUCCUGGAGGACCGGUCCCAGGGGUCGGGGAGACCGGUCCCUCUGCCCGAAAACAGCCCAGACCGGGCUUUGCAACGGUUGAAAAGUUGAGGGGCUUUUCUGGAUUUUGUUGCUUUGGAGGGCCUAUAUGGCCAUUUCUCUCUCUCUCUCUCUCUCUCCCUCAUUUCUCUCCCUCACACCCUCGUUAGAGAAGGGAAAGGAGAAGAAGGAGGAGAAGCGGAAGAAGGAAGGUAGGAGAAGGAGAAGAUCAACUAGAGGACUUGGAGCAUCUUCCUCUCCCUCUCUUCUUCCCAUUAGUGCUUGAAGGCUUGGACUUGGAGCUUGCUAGAGAGGAGAUCAUCACUCUUGGAGCUUGGUUAGGAGCUUCUAAGAAGGUUAGUUGCUUAUUUCUUCCCUCUAGACCUAGUNGUCUGCGGUGCUGACCAAGAGAGCAUUAGUUUCAGAUUCGGUACUUUUGGACUUCUUGACCGGUUGACGCAUAUGUCUAUCGUAGCAGUCGUUGCAUGCAUAUUUACAGUUCUUACUUUAUAGUUGUUUUGCUACUAUAGUAGACAUUCAUGUAUGCUUUCGGUUCCAGUUACAGUAGCGGUAGCCGUUAUUCAGUCUAGUUCUUACUUUCUUUCAGUUUAUUGCUACUGUAUUCGUCAUAUCUGCUCAUUACCUUACAUAUCUCUUUCGUUAUUAUUGUUGCUACUAUAUUUCCACUCACCCGUGUUGUUGUAUAGCUCCUCCUGAUCCGGUGAGUACUCCUCGCCUUCUUCGGCUUGCGGUACCCACUGGGAGGGGAGACAUGUUUACAUGUUCUCACCUCCCCCACCAUUUUUCAGGUAUCGCGGGCGAUGAGUAGUGGGACGAGACGUGAGGUACGUGUGUAGCGGUCGAUAGAGCUUCCGACCCAAGUUAUUUCGGUAUAGUUAUUACCCUUAUUAUUUCAGUUGUUCUAGCUUAGAUAGUUAUAUGGUUCAGUAUUUUUAUUACAUUUGAAAAUAUGGAUUUUCGUGAAUGUAAUAAACGGAUUCCUGGAUUUUGUAAAAUAAAAGGUUUUCUACCCCUCGUGAUAGCAUUUUUAAAGAAUAAAAGUUCCUGUGUAGGAACAGUUUUCAAAAGGUUUUCUAUGGAUUUUGCAUCUUAGUAUUUCAAAACUUGUUUCUGUGGUUGGAAACAUUUUAACUGAUAGAUGUGGAUUUAUGUUUAAAUAUUGAAUGUAAAAAUGUGAACCUGUGGUGAAUAGUGUAUGAAUAUAUAACUAUGGUUAUUUGUAUGUUCAUCUGGUUGUGGUUGUAUCAUGUUUGAACUCUUGUACUUGUGCGACGCCGUGCAAAUAUAGGGGAGACUCUGUCCGUGUGAACAGUGGAUCUUCUGUAUUUGUGGCGGAUCUG